AUUGAGCGCUGGCGGCAUGCUUUACACAUGCAAGUCGAACGGCAGCACGGACCUCGGUCUGGUGGCGAGUGGCGCACGGGUGAGUAAUACAUCGGAGCGUACCGCGUGGUGGGGGACAAUAAGUCGAAAGAUGUGCUAAUACCCCAUCCACUCCGAGGAGCAAAGCAGGGGACCUGCGGGCCUUGUGCUAUGCGAGCGGGCGAUGGCUGAUUAGCUCGUGGGUGGGGUAAAGGCCUACCAAGGCAACGAUCAGUAGCGGGUCUUAGAGGACCAUCCGCUACACUGGAACUGAGACACGGUCCAGACUCCUACGGGAGGCAGCAGUGGGGAAUCUUGGACAAUGGGCGCAAGCCUGAUCCAGCAAUGCCGCGUGCGUGAAGAAGGCCUUCGGGUUGUAAAGCGCUUUUGUCAGGGAGCAAAGACUGAUGGCUAAUAUCCAUCGGAGUUGAGAGUACCUGAAGAAUAAGGACCGGCUAACUACGUGCCAGCCGCCGCGGUAAGAC
rnacentral:rRNA from 1 species